UGGGGAAUUUUGGACAAUGGGCGCAAGCCUGAUCCAGCCAUGCCGCGUGAGUGAAGAAGGCCUUCGGGUUGUAAAGCUCUUUCGGCGGGGAAGAAAUUGCACUGGCUAAUACCGAGUGUAGAUGACGGUACCCGCAUAAGAAGCACCGGCUAACUACGUGCCAGCAGCCGCGGUAAUACGUAGGGUGCGAGCGUUAAUCGGAAUUACUGGGCGUAAAGCGUGCGCAGGCGGUUGUGUAAGUCAGAUGUGAAAUCCCCGGGCUCAACCUGGGAACUGCAUUUGAGACUGAACGGCUAGAGUGUGACAGAGGGGGGUAGAAUUCCACGUGUAGCAGUGAAAUGCGUAGAGAUGUGGAGGAAUACCGAUGGCGAAGGCAGCCCCCUGGGUUACUACUGACGCUCAUGCACGAAAGCGUGGGGAGCAAACA
rnacentral:rRNA from 1 species